rnacentral:rRNA from 1 species
GACGUAGGGCGCGAGCGUUUGUCCGGAUUUAUUGGGCGUAAAGAGCUCGUAGGCGGUUUGUCGCGUCUGCUGUGAAAAUCCAGGGCUUAACCCUGGACCUGCAGUGGGUAACGGGCAGACUGGGAGUGCGGUAGGGGGAGAUCGGAAUUCCUGGUGUAGCGGUGAAAUGCGCAGAUAUCAGGAGGAACACCGGUGGCGAAGGCGGAUCUCGUGGGC